rnacentral:rRNA from 1 species
UACGUAGGGAGCGAGCGUUGUCCGAAGUUACUGGGCGUAAAGCGCGCGUAGGCGGGUCAUUAAGUGGGAAGUGAAAGGCUGGGGCUCAACCCCAUGCAGUGCUUCUCAUACUGGUGGUCUUGAGUGAGGUAGGGAGAAGUGGAAUGGCUGGUGUAGCGGUGAAAUGCGUAGAUAUCAGGAGGAACACCAAUGGCGAAGGCAGCUCACUGGGACGGUAUUGACGCUGAGACGCGAAAGCGUGGGGAGCAAACAGG